rnacentral:rRNA from 1 species
AUUGAACGCUAGCGGGAUGCCUUACACAUGCAAGUCGAACGGAGUGGCGAACGGGUGAGCAAUGUAUCGGAACGUGCCCAGUAGCGUGGGAUAACUACGCGAAAGCGUAGCUAAUACCGCAUACUAUUGGAGCGGCCGACAUCGGAUUGGCUAGUUGGUGGGGUAACGGCUCACCAGGGCGACGAUCCGUAGCUGGUUUGAGAGGAGGACCAGCCACACUGGGACUGGGACACGGCCCAGACUCCUACGGGAGCUGGCAGGGGGAAAUUUUGUACAAUGGAGGAAACCCUGAUCCCGCAAUCCCGCGUGUGCGAUGAAGGCCUUCGGGUUGUAAAGCACUGUUGGCAGGGAAGCGGUACCUGCAGAGUAAGCACCGGCUAACUACGUGCCGACAGCCGCGGUAAUGC